rnacentral:tRNA from 1 species
AGCCCCGUCGUCUAGCGGCCAAGGACGCAGGCCUUUGGAGCCUGCUACAUCGGUUCGAAUCCGGUCGGGGCUA